rnacentral:misc_RNA from 1 species
GCCUCAUCACCUCAGUACAAAAAGAUCACUCAAGUGCCAAAAGAAAUUCUAAAACUCUAGUUUUUCUUUGGGGGUAAAAAAAGAAGAACUAAAAUUGGAGAAACUACAAGAGCAAAAUGUUUAACAACAAUUUAUGCCCAUGUUAGAGAACUGACUAGACAAGGCAGAUCCUCCACCACCACUGCUCAAAUCCCUUCUCUUGGGCUUAACCAUUGGAGGUGACCAGAUGCUAAAACCAUGGUGAGAGCCACUUUUAGCGUCCUUAUUUUCUCUAUAGCCAAUAUUGUUUUUACUAUUGGCAGUGACUUUGAGCCAUUUGGAUUGCAUGUAAGUGGUGGUCCUCCAUGGAGGCACAUAAAGACCUCUUUCUCUCAGAGACUGUUUGGCAGCUGAGCAAAGUAAAGAGAUGAUGUUGUUGAGCUUCUCUUCACUGCCUACAAAAAUUGUUGGAAGUGUGUCUGUGAGUUCUUUGUAGGAUGGUGUUGGUCUUGCUAGUUCAAAUUGAGACCUGAACUCUAUGUCCACUAUUAGCCUACUACUCUUUGUCUUCCCAUUCUCUUCUUUCAACACAAUGAUCUCAAUGUACUCAUAAUCACCAGCAGGGCAUCCUAAGGAAGUGACCCAAGAAGUUUGACAAAUAGAAGCAUUAAAGCCAUCAAUUUUCAAGUUCAUGACAAGCCACUUCUUGAAGCUACUUGUUUUUUCAGCUUCUUUAUUGCUUCUCAUAUGCUUCAACACACUGUCAAGAACCUUAGCUUCAGCUUCUGUCAUUUUUCCAAGUAUUUCCUGCAAAGCAAAGUAUUUAGCUUGAUGGUCCAUAGCAAGGCAGUUUGAUGAAGCAGGAAAAAUAGGUGGUGAUGAUUCUUGUUCUAUGAAGUCAUGCACCAUUUGAACAAGCCUUUCCUCCUCUAAGCUCCCCAUAUAUAUAUAUGUAUAAAUAUGUAUGCAUAUACCCCCUUUCUGGAGGAAAAUAAAAGCUUGAUGGAGGUUUUGGAGUUGGGAUUUUCUUGAAGGGUCUUGC